rnacentral:misc_RNA from 1 species
UUUAAUCACCCAAAAGUAGGCCAUUGUCUCUCUACAUAUGCAUGCUUUAUGAGGAUGUAAUAUAUAGGUAUAUAAUGUCAGAGAUAUAGUAGUGUCAUCUUGGUAAAGGUAUCAUAUUGUUGUCCUCUGGAAGUCGGCUAUUUUGAUGCUGCCGUCGUCCAAAGUUUGGUAUAAUAAAGUAUAUAUAUUAUAAAUCAAUAUAUCCUUUCGCCUUAUGAAAGAGAUACGGUGAUGAAUAUUCGCACAAUGAUCAUUUUCGAUGUUUUAUAUAUCUCUCUGUAUAUAUCCAUUUGGCAGUAUGAUGGUGGUUGUUUUACGACGUUGACAAAGGAUAUAUAUAUAUAUGUGUGCGAUAUAAAUAGUUUGUAUAGUACAGCUAGGUAUUAAGAUAUGUUGUGUAUAUAUUAUAUAUAUAUUAUAUAGACCUGAAAUCAGU